UGUUGUUUCAGCGUAGUGAUCAGCGUGUUGGACUUCUAUUCCAAAAGUCGUGGGUACGAUACCCUACAGGGUCAU